rnacentral:rRNA from 1 species
AACGAACGCUGGCGGCAUGCCUAACACAUGCAAGUCGAACGAAACCUUCGGGUCUAGUGGCGCACGGGUGCGUAACGCGUGGGGACCUGCCCUUAGGUUUGGAAUAACUCCCCGAAAGGGGUGCUAAUACCGGAUAAUGUCUUCGGACCAAAGAUUUAUCGCCUUUGGAUGGGCCCGCGUUGGAUUAGCUUGUUGGUAGGGUAAAAGCCUACCAAGGCGACGAUCCAUAGCUGGUCUGAGAGGAUGAUCAGCCACACUGGGACUGAGACACGGCCCAGACUCCUACGGGAGGCAGCAGUGGGGAAUAUUGGACAAUGGGCGAAAGCCUGAUCCAGCAAUGCCGCGUGAGUGAUGAAGGCCUUAGGGUUGUAAAGCUCUUUUACCCGGGAUGAUAAUGACAGUACCGGGAGAAUAAGCUCCGGCUAACUCCGUG